rnacentral:rRNA from 1 species
AACGAACGCUGGCGGCAUGCCUAACACAUGCAAGUCGAACGAGACCUUCGGGUCUAGUGGCGCACGGGUGCGUAACGCGUGGGAACCUGCCCUUAGGUUCGGAAUAACUCCCCGAAAGGGGUGCUAAUACCGGAUAAUGUCUUCGGACCAAAGAUUUAUCGCCUUUGGAUGGGCCCGCGUUGGAUUAGCUAGUUGGUAGGGUAAAAGCCUACCAAGGCGACGAUCCAUAGCUGGUCUGAGAGGAUGAUCAGCCACACUGGGACUGAGACACGGCCCAGACUCCUACGGAAGGCAGCAGUGGGGAAUAUUGGACAAUGGGCGAAAGCCUGAUCCAGCAAUGCCGCGUGAGUGAUGAAGGCCUUAGGGUUGUAAAGCUCUUUUACCCGGGAUGAUAAUGACAGUACCGGGAGAAUAAGCACCGGCUAACUACGUG